GAGUUUGAUCUUGGCUCAGAACGAACGCUGGCGGCAUGCCUAACACAUGCAAGUCGAACGAGACCUUCGGGUCUAGUGGCGCACGGGUGCGUAACGCGUGGGAAUCUGCCCUUCGGUUCGGAAUAACAGUUAGAAAUGACUGCUAAUACCGGAUGAUGACUUCGGUCCAAAGAUUUAUCGCCGAGGGAUGAGCCCGCGUAGGAUUAGCUAGUUGGUGAGGCAAAGGCUCACCAAGGCGACGAUCCUUAGCUGGUCUGAGAGGAUGAUCAGCCACACUGGGACUGAGACACGGCCCAGACUCCUACGGGAGGCAGCAGUGGGGAAUAUUGGACAAUGGGCGAAAGCCUGAUCCAGCAAUGCCGCGUGAGUGAUGAAGGCCCUAGGGUUGUAAAGCUCUUUUACCCGGGAUGAUAAUGACAGUACCGGGAGAAUAAGCCCCGGCUAACUCCGUGCCAGCAGCCGCCGU
rnacentral:rRNA from 1 species